GAGUUACUCCCUCCGUCUGAAAAUACUUGUCAUCAAAAUAAAAAGAGAUGUAUCUAAAACUAAAAUUUAUUUAGAUACAUCAUUUUAUUAUUAUUUUUCAUGACAAAUAUUUUCCGACGGAGGGAGUACCCG
rfam:Triticum aestivum genome assembly, contig: Triticum_aestivum_CS42_TGACv1_scaffold_321714_4BL